rnacentral:rRNA from 1 species
AUUGAACGCUAGCGGCAUGCCUUACACAUGCAAGUCGAACGGAGUGGCGAACGGGCGGGUAAUGAAUCGGAACGUGCCCAGUAGCUGGGGAUAACUACGCGAAAGCGUAGCUAAUAACGACUACUAGUGGAGCGGUCGAUAUCGGAUUAGCUAGUUGGUGGGGUAACGGCUCACCAAGGCGACGAUCCGUAGCUGGUUUGAGAGGACGACCAGCCACACGGGGACUGAGACACGGCCCAGACUCCUACGGGAGGCAGCAGUGGGGAAUUUUGGACAAUGGGGGAAACCCUGAUCCAGCCAUCCCGCGUGUGCGAUGAAGGCCUUCGGGUUGUAAAGCACUUUUGGCAGGGAAGCGGUACCUGCAGAAUAAGCACCGGCUAACUACGUGCCAGCAGCCGCGGUAAUUC